GCUUUUCGGCCUCCCGGUGUCAGUUUGUUUACUUUGCAAUCUCCUUCUGCAUCUGGGAAAUUUUGCAGCAACAUGUUGAAUCAGCCUUUGUGCUGUGGACUCUGGUUGCUGCAGGGCUUGCAUGUAUUGUUACUUACUAUUCCUGCUCAAUUGCUAACGUGCAGCUUGCUGUGCCCACUCUGAGAGCUUUGCUUAUUUGUGUGCUAUUUCAGGCAAUCUUGUGUUGCCUCAGCUUUAUAUGUUUCACAGUGAUCUCAUCUCUCUCGGGAUUUAAUACUAGCCUAGUCAUGUCUUCUUUGUUUCUUGUCGUUUUUACUAUCUAUCAGCAUGCAUACAUAUAUGGUGUAUAUAUACGUCUACUCCCCCAAAAAUGAUAAGCAAGCUUCAUUCACCACAC
rnacentral:sRNA from 1 species